rfam:Tannerella sp. CAG:51 genomic scaffold, scf81
ACGAAACAAAAGGGGUGCCCUAAAAGGCUGAGAUUAUACCCUAUGAACCUGACGGAUAAUGCCGGCGUAGGAAUUUGUUCAUAGCAUAUA